GAUGAAGAACGCAGCGAAAUGCGAUAAGUAAUGUGAAUUGCAGAAUUCCGUGAAUCAUCGAAUCUUUGAACGCACAUUGCGCCCCCUGGUAUUCCGGGGGGCAUGCCUGUCCGAGCGUCAUUGCUGCCCUCAAGCACGGCUUGUGUGUUGGGCCCCCGUCCCCCCCUCCCGGGGGACGGGCCCGAAAGGCAGCGGCGGCACCGCGUCCGGUCCUCGAGCGUAUGGGGCUUUGUCACCCGCUCUGUAGGCCCGGCCGGCGCUUGCCGACACAUCAAUCUUUUUUCCAGGUUGACCUCGGAUCAGGUAGGGAUACCCGCUGAACUUAAGCAUAUCAAUAAGCGGAGGA
rnacentral:misc_RNA from 1 species